GGGUUGUGAGGUUAAGCGACUAAGCGUACACGGUGGAUGCCCUGGCAGUCAGAGGCGAUGAAGGACGUGCUAAUCUGCGAUAAGCGUCGGUAAGGUGAUAUGAACCGUUAUAACCGGCGAUUUCCGAAUGGGGAAACCCAGUGUGUUUCGACACACUAUCAUUAACUGAAUCCAUAGGUUAAUGAGGCGAACCGGGGGAACUGAAACAUCUAAGUACCCCGAGGAAAAGAAAUCAACCGAGAUUCCCCCAGUAGCGGCGAGCGAACGGGGAGCAGCCCAGAGCCUGAAUCAGUGUGUGUGUUAGUGGAAGCGUCUGGAAAGGCGCGCGAUACAGGGUGACAGCCCCGUACACAAAAAUGCACAUGCUGUGAGCUCGAUGAGUAGGGCGGGACACGUGGUAUCCUGUCUGAAUAUGGGGGGACCAUCCUCCAAGGCUAAAUACUCCUGACUGACCGAUAGUGAACCAGUACCGUGAGGGAAAGGCGAAAAGAACCCCGGCGAGGGGAGUGAAAAAGAACCUGAAACCGUGUACGUACAAGCAGUGGGAGCACGCUUCGGCGUGUGACUGCGUACCUUUUGUAUAAUGGGUCAGCGACUUAUAUUCUGUAGCAAGGUUAACCGAAUAGGGGAGCCGAAGGGAAACCGAGUCUUAACUGGGCGUUAAGUUGCAGGGUAUAGACCCGAAACCCGGUGAUCUAGCCAUGGGCAGGUUGAAGGUUGGGUAACACUAACUGGAGGACCGAACCGACUAAUGUUGAAAAAUUAGCGGAUGACUUGUGGCUGGGGGUGAAAGGCCAAUCAAACCGGGAGAUAGCUGGUUCUCCCCGAAAGCUAUUUAGGUAGCGCCUCGUGAAUUCAUCUCCGGGGGUAGAGCACUGUUUCGGCAAGGGGGUCAUCCCGACUUACCAACCCGAUGCAAACUGCGAAUACCGGAGAAUGUUAUCACGGGAGACACACGGCGGGUGCUAACGUCCGUCGUGAAGAGGGAAACAACCCAGACCGCCAGCUAAGGUCCCAAAGUCAUGGUUAAGUGGGAAACGAUGUGGGAAGGCCCAGACAGCCAGGAUGUUGGCUUAGAAGCAGCCAUCAUUUAAAGAAAGCGUAAUAGCUCACUGGUCGAGUCGGCCUGCGCGGAAGAUGUAACGGGGCUAAACCAUGCACCGAAGCUGCGGCAGCGACGCUUAUGCGUUGUUGGGUAGGGGAGCGUUCUGUAAGCCUGUGAAGGUGUGCUGUGAGGCAUGCUGGAGGUAUCAGAAGUGCGAAUGCUGACAUAAGUAACGAUAAAGCGGGUGAAAAGCCCGCUCGCCGGAAGACCAAGGGUUCCUGUCCAACGUUAAUCGGGGCAGGGUGAGUCGACCCCUAAGGCGAGGCCGAAAGGCGUAGUCGAUGGGAAACAGGUUAAUAUUCCUGUACUUGGUGUUACUGCGAAGGGGGGACGGAGAAGGCUAUGUUGGCCGGGCGACGGUUGUCCCGGUUUAAGCGUGUAGGCUGGUUUUCCAGGCAAAUCCGGAAAAUCAAGGCUGAGGCGUGAUGACGAGGCACUACGGUGCUGAAGCAACAAAUGCCCUGCUUCCAGGAAAAGCCUCUAAGCAUCAGGUAACAUCAAAUCGUACCCCAAACCGACACAGGUGGUCAGGUAGAGAAUACCAAGGCGCUUGAGAGAACUCGGGUGAAGGAACUAGGCAAAAUGGUGCCGUAACUUCGGGAGAAGGCACGCUGAUAUGUAGGUGAGGUCCCUCGCGGAUGGAGCUGAAAUCAGUCGAAGAUACCAGCUGGCUGCAACUGUUUAUUAAAAACACAGCACUGUGCAAACACGAAAGUGGACGUAUACGGUGUGACGCCUGCCCGGUGCCGGAAGGUUAAUUGAUGGGGUUAGCGGUAACGCGAAGCUCUUGAUCGAAGCCCCGGUAAACGGCGGCCGUAACUAUAACGGUCCUAAGGUAGCGAAAUUCCUUGUCGGGUAAGUUCCGACCUGCACGAAUGGCGUAAUGAUGGCCAGGCUGUCUCCACCCGAGACUCAGUGAAAUUGAACUCGCUGUGAAGAUGCAGUGUACCCGCGGCAAGACGGAAAGACCCCGUGAACCUUUACUAUAGCUUGACACUGAACAUUGAGCCUUGAUGUGUAGGAUAGGUGGGAGGCUUUGAAGUGUGGACGCCAGUCUGCAUGGAGCCGACCUUGAAAUACCACCCUUUAAUGUUUGAUGUUCUAACGUUGACCCGUAAUCCGGGUUGCGGACAGUGUCUGGUGGGUAGUUUGACUGGGGCGGUCUCCUCCUAAAGAGUAACGGAGGAGCACGAAGGUUGGCUAAUCCUGGUCGGACAUCAGGAGGUUAGUGCAAUGGCAUAAGCCAGCUUGACUGCGAGCGUGACGGCGCGAGCAGGUGCGAAAGCAGGUCAUAGUGAUCCGGUGGUUCUGAAUGGAAGGGCCAUCGCUCAACGGAUAAAAGGUACUCCGGGGAUAACAGGCUGAUACCGCCCAAGAGUUCAUAUCGACGGCGGUGUUUGGCACCUCGAUGUCGGCUCAUCACAUCCUGGGGCUGAAGUAGGUCCCAAGGGUAUGGCUGUUCGCCAUUUAAAGUGGUACGCGAGCUGGGUUUAGAACGUCGUGAGACAGUUCGGUCCCUAUCUGCCGUGGGCGCUGGAGAACUGAGGGGGCUGCUCCUAGUACGAGAGGACCGGAGUGGACGCAUCACUGGUGUUCGGGUUGUCAUGCCAAUGGCACUGCCCGGUAGCUAAAUGCGGAAGAGAUAAGUGCUGAAAGCAUCUAAGCACGAAACUUGCCCCGAGAUGAGUUCUCCCUGACUCCUUGAGAGUCCUGAAGGAACGUUGAAGACGACGACGUUGAUAGGCCGGGUGUGUAAGCGCAGCGAUGCGUUGAGCUAACCGGUACUAAUGAACCGUGAGGCUUAACCUUACAACGCCGAAGGUGUUU
rnacentral:rRNA from 1 species